GAUGAACGCUGGCGGCGUGCCUAAUACAUGCAAGUCGAGCGAACGGACGAGAAGCUUGCUUCUCUGAUGUUAGCGGCGGACGGGUGAGUAACACGUGGAUAACCUACCUAUAAGACUGGGAUAACUUCGGGAAACCGGAGCUAAUACCGGAUAAUAUUUUGAACCGCAUGGUUCAAAAGUGAAGGACGGUCUUGCUGUCACUUAUAGAUGGAUCCGCGCUGCAUUAGCUAGUUGGUAAGGUAACGGCUUACCAAGGCAACGAUGCAUAGCCGACCUGAGGGGGUGAUCGGCCACACUGGAACUGAGACACGGUCCAGACUCCUACGGGAGGCAGCAGUAGGGAAUCUUCCGCAAUGGGCGAAAGCCUGACGGAGCAACGCCGCGUGAGUGAUGAAGGUCUUCGGAUCGUAAAACUCUGUUAUUAGGGAAGAACAUAUGUGUAAGUAACUGUGCACAUCUUGACGGUACCUAAUCAGAAAGCCACGGCUAACUACGUG
rnacentral:rRNA from 1 species